GAUGAACGCUGGCGGCGUGCCUAAUACAUGCAAGUCGAGCGAACGGACGAGAAGCUUGCUUCUCUGAUGUUAGCGGCGGACGGGUGAGUAACACGUGGAUAACCUACCUAUAAGACUGGGAUAACUUCGGGAGACCGGAGCUAAUACCGGAUGAUAUUUUGAACCGCAUGGUUCAAAAGUGAAAGACGGUCUUGCUGUCACUUAUAGAUGGAUCCGCGCUGCAUUAGCUAGUUGGUAAGGUAACGGCUUACCAAGGCAACGAUGCAUAGCCGACCUGAGAGGGUGAUCGGCCACACUGGAACUGAGACACGGUCCAGACUCCUACGGGAGGCAGCAGUAGGGAAUCUUCCGCAAUGGGCGAAAGCCUGACGGGGCAACGCCGCGUGAGUGAUGAAGGUCUUCGGAUCGUAAAACUCUGUUAUUAGGGAAGAACAUAUGUGUAAGUAACUGUGCACAUCUUGACGGUACCUAAUCAGAAAGCCACGGCUAACUACGUG
rnacentral:rRNA from 1 species